rnacentral:rRNA from 1 species
GACGAGGGGUCCAAGCGUUGUUCGGAAUCAUUGGGCGUAAAGCGGGUGUAGGUGGCUCUGUAAGUCAGGAGUGAAAGCCCCCAGGCUUAACUUGGGAAGUGCUUUUGAUACUGCAGAGCUUGAAUGUGGGAGAGGAUCGUGGAAUUCCAGGUGUAGUGGUGAAAUACGUAGAUAUCUGGAGGAACACCGGUGGCGAAGGCGGCACGCUGGAUCCUCUCUGACGCUGAGGCGCGAAAGCCAGGG